rnacentral:rRNA from 1 species
AACGAACGCUGGCGGCAUGCCUAACACAUGCAAGUCGAACGAGACCUUCGGGUCUAGUGGCGCACGGGUGCGUAACGCGUGGGAACCUGCCCUUAGGUUCGGAAUAACUCCCCGAAAGGGGUGCUAAUACCGGAUAAUGUCUUCGGCCCAAAGAUUUAUCGCCUUUGGAUGGGCCCGCGUUGGAUUAGCUAGUUGGUAGGGUAAAAGCCUACCAAGGCGACGAUCCAUAGCUGGUCUGAGAGGAUGAUCAGCCACACUGGGACUGAGACACGGCCCAGACUCCUAAGGGAGGCAGAAGUGGGGAAUAUUGGACAAUGGGAGAAAGCCUGAGCCAGCAAUGCCGCGUGAGUGAUGAAGGCCUUAGGGUAGUAAAGCUCUUUUACCCGGGAUGAUAAUGACAGUACCGGGAGAAUAAGCUCCGGCUAACUCCGUG